rnacentral:lncRNA from 10 species
AGGCAGUAUGCUUGGUAAAAGUCAUCGCCAUUCUCUAAUCUUGAGUACCCAGGGACACGAUACACUGCGGAAGGCUGCAGGGACCUCUGCCCAGGAAAGCCAGGAGCCAGAAAAACUUCAUCUCUUUUACAAGAAACAUUGAGAUUCCUGUAAAAUUAAGAAAUCACACAAUUUGAUGGUCUACAUUAUCUAAAGCAAAUGAGACUUCUAUUUGGAACAAAGACUACCUUGUUGGGAAAUGAGUCUGCAAGUUAAAGUGUUUUCUGGAUCCAGUAUCUGCCGGAGGAGCCCCACCUUCUGCUACUAUUAUGUUCUUCAGAUGAGUAGAAGAGAGUGGGGAGGGAGAGAGCAGGAAGAAGAAAGGAAGAAUAAUGUCUUGAAAUUGUUUUCUAAGGAUAAUGGUCUCCAGCUUCGUCAAUGUUCCUGCAAAGGACAUGAUGCUGACUUUGAAGAUGCAAGCUUCCACAUCUACAGCCUCAAGGAAACAAAUUCAGCCAACCAACUGAGGGAGCUUUCCUUGUCCUGCCUCAAGAUGAGAUCACAGUCUGCCCAACACCAUGAUUUAGGCCUUGUGACACCUGGUAUGGAAGACCCAGUUAAGUUCUCUCCAAACUCUUGACCCACAGAACCUGUGAGAAAAUAUAUGGAUAUUAUUUUAAACUGCUAAAUUUGUAGUAAUUUGUUAUGCAGCAAUAAAAAAAACUAAUGCAAGGAGAUA